UACGUAGGUGGCAAGCGUUGUCCGGAUUUACUGGGCGUAAAGGGAGCGUAGGUGGAUAUUUAAGUGGGAUGUGAAAUACUCGGGCUUAACCUGAGUGCUGCAUUCCAAACUGGAUAUCUAGAGUGCAGGAGAGGAAAGUAGAAUUCCUAGUGUAGCGGUGAAAUGCGUAGAGAUUAGGAAGAAUACCAGUGGCGAAGGCGACUUUCUGGACUGUAACUGACACUGAGGCUCGAAGGCGUGGGGAGCAAACAGG
rnacentral:rRNA from 1 species